rnacentral:rRNA from 1 species
AUUGAACGCUGGCGGCAGGCCUAACACAUGCAAGUCGAACGGUAACAGGAAGAAGCUUUCUUCUUUGCUGUCGAGUGGCGGAUGGGUGAGGAAUGUCCGGCAAACUGUCUUAUGUAGGGGGAUAACUACUGGAAACGCUAGCUAAUAUCGCAUAUCGUCGCAAGACCAAAAAGCGGGACCUUCGGGCCCCUUGCCCUCGUAUGUGCCCAGAUGGGAUUAGCUAGUAGGUGGGGUAACGGCUCACCCAGGCGACGAUCCCUAGCUGGUCUGAGAGGAUGAUCAGCCACACUGGAACUGAGACACGGUCCAGACUCCUACGGGAGGCAGCAGUGGGGAAUAUUGGACAAUGGGCGCAAGCCUGAUGCAGCCAUGCCGCGUGUGUGAAGAAGGCCUUCGGGUUGUAAAGUACUUUUGGCGGGAAAGAAGGGAGUAAAGUUAAUACCUUUGCUCAUUGACGUUACCCACAGAAGAAGCACCGGCUAACUCCGUG